UUCAACAAAAAGGACUCAACCUAACAAGCAAACCCUGUAUGCUUUACCUUCAGGUCUUUCACUUCUUGAGGUUGUUAUUUCCCUUCGUUUCUUUCUAUUUCAGUAUGGGAUUGUGUAUCAUUACAUGUCUGCAAUGGAAAUAAAAGCAUAAUUGUAUUUGGUCUCUCUUGGCUGGUUAUCUGGUUGUGAUGAUCAUCUUGAAGAUAGUGUCACUGGGUAGGAGAAAGUUCAGCGCAGAUUUUCAGACUGCUAAGGGCGUUGAUGUUCAUUGGAUUUAUAGUCUCGGUUAGCAUCCUCUUUAUGUUUGUGAAUCUUUCAGUUGGUGACAUCUUUGCGAGCCUUCUCGCUUUCAUGCCAACAGGAUGGGCUCUGUUGCAGAUAUCACAAGCAUGUAAGCCAGUGAUGAAGGCACUAGGGUUGUGGAGUGCCACAAGGUCUCUAGCCAGGGGAUACAAAUUAUCUUUGUGCCUAUAGCUGUUCUGGCAUGGUUCCCAUUUGUGUCUGAAUUCCAGGCACGGCUGCGCUUCAACCAUGCUUUCAGUAGAGGCCUUCAGGUUUCACGGAUUCUGGCCGGUGGAAAGAAGCAUAAUUGGUAUGUACAAACCUUUUACCACCAUCAUCUUUAUUUUAUCAUCCAUUUGUUAAAAAAUGAAUGUUAAUUGAGCUCUCAAAAUUGACUAAUGACAUGAGAUAGAUUACUGAACGUAGUAGUCCACUUUCAAGCCCA